rnacentral:rRNA from 1 species
ACGGGUGAGUAACACGUGGGCAACCUGCCCUUGAGACUGGGAUAACUUCGGGAAGCCGGAGCUAAUACCGGAUAAUAUGAGGAACCUCCUGGUUCUUUAUUGAAAGAUGGUUUCGGCUAUCACUUAAGGAUGGGCCCGCGGCGCAUUAGCUAGUUGGUGAGGUAACGGCUCACCAAGGCGACGAUGCGUAGCCGACCUGAGAGGGUGAUCGGCCACACUGGGACUGAGACACGGCCCAGACUCCUACGGGGGGCAGCAGUAGGGAAUCUUCCACAAUGGACGAAAGUCUGAUGGAGCAACGCCGCGUGAGUGAUGAAGGCCUUCGGGUCGUAAAGCUCUGUUGUUAGGGAAGAACAAGUGCGAGAGUAACUGCUCGCACCUUGACGGUACCUAACCAGAAAGCCACGGCUAACUACGUGCCAGCAGCCGCGGUAAUACGUAGGUGGCAAGCGUUAUCCGGAAUUAUUGGGCGUAAAGCGCGCGCAGGUGGUUUCUUAAGUCUGAUGUGAAAGCCCACGGCUCAACCGUGGAGGGUCAUUGGAAACUGGGGAACUUGAGUGCAGAAGAGGAAAGUGGAAUUCCA